rnacentral:rRNA from 1 species
GACGAACGCUGGCGGCGUGCUUAACACAUGCAAGUCGAGCGGUAAGGCCCUUUCGGGGGUACGACGAGCGGCGAACGGGUGAGUAACACGUGGGUGACCUGCCCUCAGCUCUGGGAUAAGCCUGGGAAACCGGGUCUAAUACUGGAUAUGACUCCAUGACGCAUGUUGUGGGGUGGAAAGCCUUGUGCGGCUGAGGAUGGGCCCGCGGCCUAUCAGCUUGUUGGUGGGGUGANGGCCUACCAAGGCGACGACGGGUAGCCGGCC